GCGCCGCUAACGCGAACGCGCUACAACGCGCUGCCGACACCAGCGGCGCCCAUCGGGCAGGUGUGAAACUAAAAGUUGUUUACCGUCCCAAGAGAGGCGACGAGCGGGGCUCAAAGUUCAAAAAACUGAAGCGUACGUUAAAGGCGUGGUUCGUUGGGUUCGCGUUGUCGCGAGUGCGGCGGCCCUUCCUGUUUAGUCAGCAUUGGUAUGCCUCCAUAGCGUCGGGCACGCGGUUAUGAAUCGGCCGGAACCACUGUGCUGAACCGCACGAUGAGGCGCGGCGGCGAAGCCGUUGGUGCCGCCGCGCUACCCGUCGCACUUUUCCUGCUGCUGUCUUCGAUCGGGCCGUGGUCGACGUGCAAUGGGCAGCAGUGGAAGAAUGACCCAAACCGGAGGUAUCCCGAUCCAGCGACGCCGGACUUCUUGCCUCGGAACCGAGCCCCGCCAGGUCCCACGCUGUACCGUGCCGACCUGAGGCCGUCCGGACUCUACGAGCGGACGGACGACUUUCAAAAGUACAGCGAUGGACGGUGCUCGAUACGGACGACCUCGACGCCGACAAUGUACAGAACAGCAAAAACUCCGAUCGGUGUUUUUACGGGAAGGAUCGUCUACCUGUGCGACCUUCCCGAGUUCACGCGCACCGACCAACGGCCGGCGUCGCAGGGCGGCAUCGACCACAGGAACGACAGGCUGGAGUACCCCUCCAGCGCGGUGGCCUACCUGGGCAUUCCGUACGCCCAGCCGCCACUCGGACACAACAGGUUUAGGGAACCUCAGGCUCAUGGUCCCUUGGGAAAUGUGCAAGCCCUGAAUUUCAGGGACUCGUGUAUACAACACAUUGACUACAAAGGUCAACACAUGGGCGUCCCCUCUACCAGCGAAGAUUGCCUCUACCUUAAUAUCUACACACCUAAUCUGGCCGAUAUGAAUCGUCGGUUUGCUGUCAUGGUGCACAUACAUGGUGGUGAAUUUGAUCAUGGGUCUGGAAAUUUGUUUCCUGGUCACAUGCUGGCUGCUUCACAAGAUGUUGUUGUGGUCACCUUCAAUUACCGUCUAGGUGCUUUAGGGUUUCUGGCAACGGGGGAUGGUGCUUCGCCAGGCAACUACGGUCUGCUAGAUCAAGCAGCUGCCAUCCAGUGGGUGCGAGACUACAUUGCAGGCUUCUCCGGAGACCCAUCUCGUAUCACCCUGUUUGGUCCAGGCGCUGGAGCAGCCAGUGCUGGCCUCCAUUUGGUCCAUCAGAUGAACAAACGCAAUUUGGCCUUUCAGCGGGUGAUAGCUUCUGGUGGAUCUCCGGUGGCCGAGUGGGCCUUGGACCAAGACCCUAUACGGAUGCGCAACAUGAGCUGGCUGUAUAGUGAGAAGGUGGGCUGCUAUGGCGACAGCACCUGGCGCCUACUCGACUGCCUGCGUAGCAAGGGGAAUAGCAGCUCUGAGUUCACUUUGGCCACUGUCGAGCCAACAGUGGGACGUCUACCCUGGGGACCCGUCUUGGACCGUCACACACGUUCAGACAGUAUCGUGUUCGUGUCCCCAGAAGACUACCUUCGAGACCUCGCACCUGAGGAGGCCCAUCGGUUUAGUAGCCAGGUGGCGUACAUGACUGGUGUCACACGUGACGAGGCAUCCUACAUUGUCAAACGAGACAGAGAACUCAAGAACAACCGUUACAUCAUGACACCAGACACAUUUCGAAUGUACCUGAAACGCUAUGCCCGCCAGUUCAACUACACGCUCAAUGAGGAAGCUGCCAUCAGUGCCUUAUCCUUCAUGUAUACUCCAUGGAGUGAUCAGGACAAUCAGACCCUCCUGAUGAGGGGAUACGUUGACAUGCUCUCGGACUCCUACUUUGUGGCCCCUCAUGACAAGGUGAUGAAGCUUCUACUGGACAAAGGUUUUCGUGUCUAUGCUUACGUGGUGAACUACACUCUUGAGAGCUAUCCUAGGUUGCAGUAUGGCAGACGCGUCUAUGACUGGGAUGAAAUACCACAAAGCAUGGUUGACCUGAUGGUGUCCGGUGCACCAUUCAUGGACCCAAAGUUCUACCCUGACAACCUGGAACUGAAUGACGUCCUCUGGAGCGAGGGAGACCGCAACAUGAGCCAGCUGUUUAUGCAGGCCUGGGCAAACUUUGCCAAAACUGGAGACCCAAUGGGGGGCACCUCCUUGUUUGGGUCCAUCCGCUGGGAUCCCGCCAGGCGGGGUCUGCUACAGUACCUGUGCAUCAAUGGCACAUACUACGAAGCACUAAAUUCCUCGAGCUUCAUGCUGCACGACUACCGGCAGAAAGAGAGCCAGUUCUGGAAUGCCUACUUGCCCGAGCUAGCCCUCCGUCCGGCGCCAACCUGGCCGCCCUGGGACGAGCCGCUGCUGCGGGAGAACCGCCUCGUCACCGCCUCUCUCUGGGGCGUCACGGCCGUUGCCUGCCUCCUGCUCAUAUUGGCAGUGGUCGCGUGCUGCUGCUACUGCAAGGCUGCUAGCCGUCAUCUGGUCGACGAAGAUGAUAUUCCGCACGCCUCAAUGCAUUCCCUGACGGAGAGUACCUCUAGCAUAAGAAGAAUGGAGUUCAAAAACAAAUAUGCUACGCCUGAAGAUCAAGGAGAGCUAAGGUCUCUCAAGAACACCAGUGUGUGAUUGUCGCCGGCACAGGCAGCGCAGCGUGCCCGUGUAAUAUUGAAGUCCCUGUGCCUUCUACUAGUGGCAAGCAGGGUAGGGGCAGUCUGAAUGAAUUGCUUCAGAAGAGAGCGCUUUGUCAGUUCCUUUGUGCCGGUCAUUUCGAAAGUCGUUUCGGCUGACUGCCACUUUCAUCCGAACACAGCCAAGCGAAGCUGCCAACCCAGUCGAGAGCAGGUGUUGGAAGGAAUCGUUGACGAAUACCACGCUACAGGAAUCACCCUUGCAGCAGCGUGCGAGGUCACAAAUGUGGCACAAUAUCCGGAACAUUGUGAAUGGUGCUUCAAAGCUGUGCAACUCAUGAAAAUGUGACUGUGCACGGCCUGUAUUGAACACACCAGCACUGUAGGUUGGUUCUUCAGUUGUUCUAUACCAGCAGCUCCAUUGCUUGUUAACAUACAUGCAACUGCACGUAAAACGUGCGAGAUGAGCAUUCGACGCCAACAAAGUUGUUAAUUUCACAUAAUCUGUUUCACACUUGUAAGCAUUGGUCACACAUAGGCCACAUACGGGCCGCUUAUUGGUAACAUACUGGUUGUGUUUGUAGCUACACGAGUUAAGAUGAAGGCUAGAUUUUAAAUGAUAGUAAUGUUAAAAGAAAUAAAAAAACUGCCACCUUUAAUCAAUUGGGCUGUGGUGCCCACAAUAAGAGUGUGUGGCUUCAACUUGAACACAAACGAAGCCAUAUGUGUCAUUUCUCUAUGAUCUCGAAGCUGUAAGUGAGAACGAGGCGAGCUAUUACUACCCGCAGCUUCUGUGAAUGUUACGCGCAAUGUU
rnacentral:misc_RNA from 1 species